rnacentral:rRNA from 1 species
CCUACGGGUGGCUGCAGUGGGGAAUAUUGGGCAAUGGGCGCAAGCCUGACCCAGCAACGCCGCGUGAAGGAAGAAGGCUUUCGGGUUGUAAACUUCUUUUCUCAGGGACGAAGCAAGUGACGGUACCUGAGGAAUAAGCCACGGCUAACUACGGGCCAGCAGCCGCGGAAAUACGUAGGUGGCAAGCGUUAUCCGGAUUUACUGGGUGUAAAGGGCGUGUAGGCGGGGACGCAAGUCAGAUGUGAAAACCACGGGCUCAACCUGUGGCCUGCAUUUGAUACGGGUUUUAUUGAGUACUGGAGAGGCAGACGGAAUUCUUAGUGUAGCGGUGAAAUGCGUAGAUAUUAGGAGGAACACCAGUGGCGAAGGCGGUCUGCUGGACAGCAACUGACGCUGAGGCGCGAAAGCGUGGGGAGCAAACAGGAUUAGAUACCCGGGUAGUC